rnacentral:lncRNA from 1 species
CCUUCUUCUAAUCCCAAGCAAAUUGAUAGUGCUGAAAGUAUUUUGCUCGCUAGGCCUCGCAGUUGCCUUGCAUACUCACUUGUAACUUCACUACAAGACAAGUAAAUGAUGAAUCAGUACCAAUUAACAUUAAAUAUGUAAGUAAAAACAAGCUAAGCUAAACUCACGUGUACUCGCUGGGGAUUUUAGGCCAAAUUGACAAGUCUCUCUUAUCCUCAGGAAAAAUAAGAUGGAAGAAGUAGUCCUCCCACUCAAGCUGCCCACUAGCAUUGUUAGCAAGCUUGCUACCAUAGCCCUGAACAUUCCCAGAGCUCUGGUCGUUGGCAUACUUCUCUUUCUCCUCCACAGGGAGUUCAAAGAAUUUCUGCCCAACUUUCCUAACACGAUCCAUGAGCUCCUCGGAGAUGCCAUGGUUAACAAG